CCAUCCUCAAACAUUAUUUUUUGCUUUGUAGCCAUGUAGUUAUCAAACAUACUUUUUAUUUUUAUUCAAUAAUAAAAAUUUAAAAAAUAAAAAUAUUUUUUAAAAAUUAAAAAUCAAAAAGUGUAACCAAACGCAUCCUUAGUUUAAAGGAAUAUUUUUCUUGAAUCACCAUCCUCUAACUGUCCUUAAUUUUUUUCUUUCUUUUUGGCCUUUUUAAUUUUUUUGCUCAUUUAUUUUUAGGGCCUCCAUUCUUUUAACAUAGAAUAGCCUUCCCCUUGCCACUUAACGAAUUGGUAAGAGGUGGAGAAUUCCAUUCUGGAAGGAGUCGCCAGCUUAUAUUAUACCCAAAUUCAGAUUUUUGGAGAUGCGUCACUUAAGAAUCAAGCGGGAACCUUUGGUUGCUAAGCAAAAGAAAGUAACCACAUCGAUAAGCCCCAAUUCAUGGUGAAACGUGAAGAUCAGAAGGCUGAAGUUUUCAUCAAAUGAUGCAAAAGAAUUUGUAUACUUGAGUUUUGUUAGGGUUAGUGUGGGUAUAAGGAUGUGUUUAUUCAUUCAAAUGCUUGUGCAUGCUCCCCGUGUUAUAUAUAUAUAUAUAUAUAUAUAUAUAUGAUUGUGCAUGUGCAUAUAUCUGAGGACUCAUAGAGACAUGUAUCAAGUUCCACAU
rnacentral:lncRNA from 1 species